UUUCCCUUUCUUUCUUUCUCUUUCUUUCCUUUUCUUUCUAUCUUUUUCUUUCUAUCUUUCUUCCUUCCUUCCCUUCCUUUCCCUUCUCUUUUUUCUUUUCUUCUUUUCUUUUCUUUGGUUUUUCCAGACAGGAAUUCCUGGCUGUCCUGGACCCACUGUGUAGACCAGGCUCUUUAAACAGUAAGCAGGAGGCAAAUCAGCUGCCGUGGCUGGAGAAGACCAGGGACCGAAGACAGUUCUUAAAAUGAACAGAUGACACAAAAUUCUGUACAAUUAUGAACUACAGAUAAAAGGGACUUCAAUUGUAGUUCCCUAAUUCCUAUUCUGAUUCCCAUUCAAGAUCUGAGAACCCCAAGGGGAGGGGGGACCUGGAGAUGUGGCU
rnacentral:lncRNA from 1 species